rnacentral:rRNA from 1 species
GACGAACGCUGGCGGCGGGCUUAACACAUGCAAGUCGAACGGAAAGGCCCUGCUUUUGUGGGGUGCUCGAGUGGCGAACGGGUGAGUAACACGUGAGUAACCUGCCCUGGACUUUGGGAUAACUUCAGGAAACUGGGGCUAAUACCGGAUAGGAGCUCCUGCUGCAUGGUGGGGGUUGGAAAGUUUAGGCGGUUGGGGAUGGACUCGCGGCUUAUCAGCUUGUUGGUGGGGUAGUGGCUUACCAAGGCUUUGACGGGUAGCCGGCCUGAGAGGGUGACCGGCCACAUUGGGCCUGCGAUACGGCCCAGUCUCCUACGGGAGGCAGCAGUGGGGAGUAUUGCACAGUGGGCGGAAGCCUGAUGCAGCGACGCCGCGUUCGGGAUGACGGCCUUCGGGUUGUAAACCGCUUUCGCCUGUGACGAAGCGUGAGUGACGGUAAUGGGUAAAGAAGCACCGGCUAACUACGUG